AGAGUUUGAUCCUGGCUCAGAACGAACGCUGGCGGCGUGGAUAAGACAUGCAAGUCGAACGGAUUCAUAUGAGAUUAUAUCAAGUGUGGGUCAGUGGCGGACGGGUGCGUAACACGUGAACAAUCUGCCGGAAGGAGGGGGAUAGCCCAUGGAAACGUGGAUUAAUACCCUGUGUGGUUUCAACAGGCAUCUGUUGACAACUAAACGUGGCGCAAGCUGCGGCCUUCCGAUGAGUUCGCGGCCUAUCAGCUUGUUAGCGGGGUAACGGCCCACCAAGGCGAUGACGGGUAGCUGGUCUGAGAGGAUGACCAGCCACACUGGAACUGAGACACGGUCCAGACACCUACGGGUGGCAGCAGUCGAGAAUCAUUCACAAUGGGCGAAAGCCUGAUGGUGUGACGCCGCGUGGAGGAUGACGGUCUUCGGAUUGUAAACUCCUGUCAUGUGAGAGUAAGUUUCAGGGAGUAACUGCCCGUGAAAUUGAGAGUAUCACAAGAGGAAGAGGCGGCUAACUCUGUGCCAGCAGCCGCGGUAAUACAGAGGCCUCAAGCGUUGUUCGGAAUCACUGGGCGUAAAGGGUGCGUAGGCGGCGCGGAAAGUCAGGGGUGAAAUCCCGGAGCUCAACUCCGGAACUGCCUUUGAUACUCCCGCGCUUGAGAACUGGAGGGGAGAUCGGAAUUCACGGUGGAGCAGUGAAAUGCGUGGAUAUCGUGAGGAACACUAGUGGCGAAGGCGGAUCUCUGGACAGUAUCUGACGCUGAGGCACGAAGGCCAGGGGAGCGAACGGGAUUAGAUACCCCGGUAGUCCUGGCAGUAAACGGUGCACGCUUGGUAUGGGGGGAAUCGACCCCUCCCGUGCCGGAGCUAACGCGUAAGCUGCCGCCUG
rnacentral:rRNA from 1 species